rnacentral:rRNA from 1 species
GAUGAACGCUGGCGGCGUGCCUAAUACAUGCAAGUCGAGCGAACGGACGAGAAGCUUGCUUCUCUGAUGUUAGCGGCGGACGGGUGAGUAACACGUGGAUAACCUACCUAUAAGACUGGGAUAACUUCGGGAAACCGGAGCUAAUACCGGAUAAUAUUUUGAACCGCAUGGUUCAAAAGUGAAAGACGGUCUUGCUGUCACUUAUAGAUGGAUCCGCGCUGCAUUAGCUAGUUGGUAAGGUAACGGCUUAGCAAGGCAACGAUGCAUAGCCGACCUGAGAGGGUGGUCGGCCACACUGGAACUGAGACACGGUCCAGACUCCUACGGGAGGCAGCAGUAGGGAAUCUUACGCAAUGGGCGAGAGCCUGACGGAGCAACGCCGCGUGAGUGAUGAAGGUCUUCGGAUCGUAAAACUCUGUUAUUAGGGAAGAACAUAUGUGUAAGUAACUGUGCACAUCUUGACGGUACCUAAUCAGAAAGCCACGGCUAACUACGUG